rnacentral:piRNA from 1 species
CUCUUGACUAAUGGAUAGAGCAGC